GUAAUAUAUAUAUAUAUACUUCGAAAAUAGUUUUUGCGACAAAAAUUGUCAGCAACCAAACUCUAUUAAAACUUCAAGUUAAAAGGCAAUACAGUAGUAGAGAAUAUCAUAACAUUACCUCAUCAAGAGGCUUCUCAAAUUGAAGGUUGAUGCUCUCAGCAUGUGCAAGCAUAACAGGAACUUGUAUACAGGUUGCAGUCAUUUUAACAUUUAUGUCAUUCUACAACAAAGGCGGAGGAGGAGACGAAUCUAAAAUUUCAGCCGAAGAAGAUGGAGAAGACGAAGUAGACGAAUUACUAGCCUUCAAUCUAGCUUCGUUUAUUUCUUCCUCGUUCUCAGCGAGAAGGGCAAUAGUGGAUCCGACGGCGACGACACCACCUUCGUCGACCAUGAUGGCGGCCAAGUAACCGUCAUAAAAGGUCUCGACGUCCAUGUCGGCCUUGUUGGACUCGAUGACGACUACACUCUUGCCCUUAGAAAGUUUGUCACCAUACAAUAUUGGGAUUUCUAGACCCGCGUCAGUUCGAAUCUCGGAUCUCCGUCGCGUACUUGCCCCACGGCCUUCGCUGGACUCCUCUGUAGUGUACUCUCUCUUCCUCUGUAUCCAAAGGUAGGGUCGAUGGCUGAGUCAACUCGGCUAAGUCCAAAAUUUGGUAUGACGACCUCUGCUGAGCCACAUCGAUCUUCAACGAAGGCCUGCGGUCGUUGAAUCUUUGCUCAGAAUUUCAUUGACAGUCCAAAUUUGGUUAUGAUGGCCUCUGUUACUUUGAUCAUUGGAGGAUGCCGACCUCUGUUGAUUAAUUUUCGGUUUUGACUUGAGAUUUUCGGUUUGGGUUUUGGUGGUCGCCGUUGGCAUCAACGAUGCAGUUUAGAAAUAAUAGCCUAAUCUCCACCCAUUUUUCGGCAAUCUCUUCUCUUACAGUCACCACGAAUGUUGAAGAUGUUGACUUACAGUCACCACGAAUGUUGAAGAUGUUGAGGGGGUAAUUUCGUCCCAAAAUUUCGUUAGAAAAUCACUUGAACAGAAGUUAGUUAGAAUACCCCCCUCGUGACAGUUGAGGGGGGUUAUUUGCUAAGAGGUGAAAGUUAAGGGGGGUUAUUUGUAGUUCGCCCUUUAUUUUUUUUUUUUUGUCACGAGUUCCACGCGUCUUGACCAAAGUAAUAUUUUGUUCUUUGUUCAUACUUCUUGAGACUCGAAUGUUCUGUUCAACAUUUUUGAGUCAUCAUGACAUACACAAUAACAUAAAAUUAUAACUUUUUUUCCC